AGCAGCCGCGGUAAUUCCAGCUCCAAUAGCGUAUAUUAAAGUUGUUGCAGUUAAAAAGCUCGUAGUUGAAUUUCGGGGUUAGUAGGUUGGUCAUGCCUCUGGUAUGUACUGGUCUCACUGAUUCCUCCUUCCUGAUGAACCUUAAUGCCAUUAAUUUGGUGAUUUGGGGAAUUUGGACUGUUACUUUGAAAAAAUUAGAGUGUUUAAAGCAAGCUAACGCUUGAAUACAUUAGCAUGGAAUAAUGAAAUAGGACGUUCGAUCCUAUUUUGUUGGUUUCUAGGAUUGACGUAAUGAUUAAUAGGGAUAGUUGGGGGCAUUAGUAUUCAAUUGUCAGAGGUGAAAUUCUUGGAUUUAUUGAAGACUAACUACUGCGAAAGCAUUUGCCAAGGAUGUUUUCAUUAAUCAAGAACGAAAGUUAGGGGAUCGAAGACGAUCAGAUACCGUCGUAGUCUUAACCAUAAACUAUGCCGACUAGGGAUCGGAUGAUGUUAAUUUUUUAAUGACUCA
rnacentral:rRNA from 1 species